rnacentral:rRNA from 1 species
AGUGAACGCUGGCGGUAGGCCUAACACAUGCAAGUCGAGCGGCAGCACAGUAAGAGCUUGCUCUUACGGGUGGCGAGUGGCGGACGGGUGAGGAAUACAUCGGAAUCUACUUUUUCGUGGGGGAUAACGUAGGGAAACUUACGCUAAUACCGCAUACGACCUACGGGUGAAAGCAGGGGAUCUUCGGACCUUGCGCGAUUGAAUGAGCCGAUGUCGGAUUAGCUAGUUGGCGGGGUAAAGGCCCACCAAGGCGACGAUCCGUAGCUGGUCUGAGAGGAUGAUCAGCCACACUGGAACUGAGACACGGUCCAGACUCCUACGGGAGGCAGCAGUGGGGAAUAUUGGACAAUGGGCGCAAGCCUGAUCCAGCCAUACCGCGUGGGUGAAGAAGGCCUUCGGGUUGUAAAGCCCUUUUGUUGGGAAAGAAAAGCAGCAGGUUAAUACCCCGCUGUUCUGACGGUACCCAAAGAAUAAACACCGGCUAACUUCGU